GAUGAAGAACGUAGCGAAAUGCGAUAAGUAGUGUGAAUUGCAGAAUUCAGUGAAUCAUCGAAUCUUUGAACGCACAUUGCGCCUUUGGUAUUCCUUAGGGCAUGCCUGUUCGAGCGUCAUUUAAACCUUCAAGCUCAGCUUGGUGUUGGGUGACUGUCCGCUUCACCGCGGACUCGCCUCAAAAUUAUUGGCGGCCGGUACAUUGGCUUCGAGCGCAGCAGAAACGCGAACUCGGGCCCGUCGUAUUGGCUCCCAGAAGCUAUCUUCACAAUUUUGACCUCGGAUCAGGUAGGGAUACCCGCUGAACUUAAGCAUAUCAAUAAGCGGAGGA
rnacentral:misc_RNA from 1 species